rnacentral:misc_RNA from 1 species
AAGUCGUAACAAGGUUUCCGUAGGUGAACCUGCGGAAGGAUCAAUCCAUAUAACUUGAAACAAGCGUCUUCAUUGAUGUUUGUGAAUAGUAUAUACCUUCUAACAAACGGUACUCAUCUUUCUUUCUUUGAUUGAAUGAUGAGUCUCGUAGUCGAAUUCACUUGUUCAUAGAGUGGUCGACUGAAAAACAACCAACCAUUCAUUUAGCCAUUUGAAACAAACAAGAAAUUCACACAACUAUUAGUGGUGGAUCACUUGGCUC